AUUUUCUUAAAGGGGGGGUUUACUGCUUUUUUUCUUUGCAUGAUUGUGUUUAUGGGGUGCAAUGUAACAUGUAUUCGUGGUUUUUCUUUUUUUAAAAGUCUUAUUUUUCAUAAAUUUCACCUUUAUUGGUUGAUGCAAAUGUAUGGGUUAGUGACGUCUAAAACCCAGCUGUAGUCCCAAUCGAGUCGUUUUUGUAGGCAUUUACACUUCCUGAUUUUUAAAAGACGAUAUCUCUGCUUACAUUGAACUUUCAGCGCUGCAACUUUGCAGAUACUGUUCAUGCACCAACAGCAACAUUACA